CCUACGGGAGGCAGCAGUGAGGAAUAUUGGUCAAUGGCCGAAAGGCUGAACCAGCCAUGCCGCGUGAGGGUCAGUGCCCUAUGGGUUGUAAACUUCUUUUAUACAGGAAUAAAGUGAGGCACGUGUUCCUUUUUGUAUGUACUUUAUGAAUAAGGAUCGGCUAACUCCGUGCCCGCAGCCGCGGUAAUACGGCGGAUCCUGGCGUUAUCCGGAUUUUUUGGGUUUAAAGGGAGCGUAGAUGGGUUGUUAAGUCAGUUGUGAAAGUUUGCGGGUCAAACGUAAAAUUGCAAUUGAGACUGGCAGUCUUGAGUAGAGUUGAGGUAGGCGGAAUUCGUGGUGUAGCGGUGAAAUGCUUAGAUAUCACGAAGAACUCCGAUUGCGAAGGCAGCUUACUAAACUGCCACUGACAUUGAGGCUCGAAAGUGUGGGUAUCAAACAGGAUUAGAUACCCUUGUAGUC
rnacentral:rRNA from 1 species